rnacentral:rRNA from 1 species
GAUAUGGCUCAGGAUGAACGCUAGCUACAGGCUUAACACAUGCAAGUCGAGGGGCAGCAUGGUCUUAGCUUGCUAAGGCCGAUGGCGACCGGCGCACGGGUGAGUAACACGUAUCCAACCUGCCGUCUACUCUUGGACAGCCUUCUGAAAGGAAGAUUAAUACAAGAUGGCAUCAUGAGUCCGCAUGUUCACAUGAUUAAAGGUAUUCCGGUAGACGAUGGGGA